AAAUAUCAAAAUCAAAGGUGAAAUCAAGCCCUCCAAAACGUACAUGGCUGCACAUGGCGCGACUAUGUCUUAGUUAUACCGGUCCAGUAACAAAACAAGUGUAGCUUAUGAUUCAUUUCUUUCAGUCCAGUGUUCGUUUUUCCCGUUUUCAUUUCUUAUGUUUUCUAAAUACAUAUAUUUUAAAACUUCAAUUUAUUUUGUAAAUCAUAAUUUGAAAAAUGUUAACGCGGUGAAGAACUUUUGUUAGUGUAAUUACGAAAUGACGAUAGCAUUGCACAAAAAUACAUAUUUUAUUUGAAAAUUGGAAACCAUUUUUUAUAAGGAUUUUGUAUGAAUAAGAAAAAUGUAUGGUUGGUAAGAAAAAAAUAGAUUUCAAAACAUAUAUUAAAAAACUGUUAAUCAUUUAUAUGAAAAAUGAUAAACCUACAUAAAAAAUGUUUCAGAUAUAUACCUAUAAUGUAUAAUGUGUAUGAAAACAAUUGACAUCAACACAUAUAUUUGGGAAAUAAUUAUCAUGUGUAUCAAAGUUGUUAAAGGUGUAUAAGAACAUGCUUGUGAUAUAUACCUAAAAUGUACAUGCAUGUACAUACGUAAAUAGUUAUUUUACAUGCGUUAAACAAAUAAUAAUAAUGAUAUAUACGAAAAAUGUUGAAUGUGUAUCCAAAAAAAGUUCACAUGUUUUGAGAAAAAAAGAAACCGAUGAAAUGAAAAUAAACAAAGAAAACCCAAAAAACCAGCAAAACCGAAAAAGGAAAUUAGAAAAACAGAAAAUUAAAACCCAAAAACCUAUGCAAAAGAAUGAGAAUAGUGAAUCCCGAGAAGGAAACAAGAAAAGAGAGAGAGAGAGAGAAAAAGAAACACACACAAAGGAUGAAAAGAAAGGAAGAUAAGUGAAGUUGAGGAAGAAGCAAAGAAAAUGAAGAGACAAAGAAGAGAAGAAAGAAAACCGUGCAUGUGUGAGUAAUUAGAUUGUGAUGUGUAGGUGUUUAGAUAGCUAGCAUAAUACUUAUACACUAUAUGAUUAAUGGCAUAGUCGAGCUUCAUAUUCUAUAUACCUAAGAAAGUUACUCCUACUAAUUUAUUUAUCUCAACAUACAAACAUGUCACCUCAUCAUGUAAUUAUGGAUGACAUAAGAACACCACAAAAUGCAAUCAUGUGCGGGAAGAGACCCACUACACCAUUAAACCAUGCAUGUAAAGAUCUUUUUCGUUCAAUUAUUCUACUAAUAUCGUUACAACUAUACAUAAUCUAAUAAGUCA
rnacentral:lncRNA from 1 species